AGAGUUUGAUCAUGGCUCAGAAUCAACGCUGGCGGCGCGCCUAACACAUGCAAGUCGAACGAGAAGGUGGAGCAAUCCAUGAGUACAGUGGCGUACGGGUGAGUAACACGUGGGUAAUCUACCUCUUAGUGGGGAAUAACCCUGGGAAACCGGGGCUAAUACCGCAUAAGCUCGAGAGAGGAAAGCAGCAAUGCGCUGAGAGAGGAGCCCGCGGCCGAUUAGCUAGUUGGUAGGGUAAAAGCCUACCAAGGCAAAGAUCGGUAGCCGGCCUGAGAGGGCACACGGCCACACUGGCACUGAAACACGGGCCAGACUCCUACGGGAGGCAGCAGUGGGGAAUCUUGCACAAUGGGGGAAACCCUGAUGCAGCGACGCCGCGUGAGCGAUGAAGCCCUUCGGGGUGUAAAGCUCUUUCGGCAGGGAAGAUUAUGACGGUACCUGCAGAAGCAGCUGCGGCUAACUACGUGCCAGCAGCCGCGGUAAUACGUAGGCAGCAAGCGUUGUUCGGAGUUACUGGGCGUAAAGGGUGUGUAGGCGGUUUGGUAAGUCUGGUGUGAAAUCUCCCGGCUCAACUGGGAGGGUGCGCCGGAAACUGCCGGACUAGAGUGCGGGAGAGGAGAGUGGAAUUCCUGGUGUAGCGGUGAAAUGCGUAGAUAUCAGGAGGAACACCGGUGGUGUAGACGGCUCUCUGGACCGUAACUGACGCUGAGACACGAAAGCGUGGGUAGCAAACAGGAUUAGAUACCCUGGUAGUCCACGCCCUAAACGAUGCAUAUUUGGUGUGGGUCAUUCAGUUGAUCCGUGCCGGAGCUAACGCGUUAAAUAUGCCGCCUGGGGAGUACAGUCGCAAGGCUGAAACUCAAAGGAAUUGACGGGGGCCCGCACAAGCGGUGGAGCAUGUGGUUCAAUUCGACGCAACGCGAAGAACCUUACCUGGGCUCGAACGGCCGGUCAACGGCGGUGGAAACAUCGCUACCCCGCAAGGGGG
rnacentral:rRNA from 1 species